CUACACAACAAAAUCCUCUUAUCUCUCUUUUGGUAUUUUUUUUUGGUAAAAUAUAGUAUCAAGUCAAUUCGUCUCGCCGCCGAUCACAUCCUUCAUCCCGGCAAGACAGCACCUCUGAUCUCAUCCUACAUCACGUACAGGCGAUAAUUAAUCCUUACACGGCAAGCAGUAAGGAGCGAAUAGGUUGUGUGCGAGUACUUGCAGGAUUAACUACCUGCAGUCAGCAUGCGUCGAACUCGCAAUGGACUCGACAAAAACAACAAUAGCAAUGAAAGACCUGACAAAGCAACCUCCAAACUUGCCACUCUACAAUCUAAUGAUAAUCAACCAGACAUCAUUAGAGCAGCAAUGAAGGAUGCUGCACGGAAAAGGAAAGAAAUACUUCAGCAGAAAAGGAAUCAGG